rnacentral:rRNA from 1 species
CCUACGGGUGGCAGCAGUGAGGAAUAUUGGUCAAUGGGCGUAAGCCUGAACCAGCCAAGUCGCGUGAGGGAUGAAGGUUCUAUGGAUCGUAAACCUCUUUUGUAAGGGAAUAAAGGCUGGGACGUGUCCUGGUUUGUGUGUACCUGAUGAAUAAGGAUCGGCUAACUCCGUGCCAGCAGCCGCGGUAAUACGGAGGAUCCGAGCGUUAUCCGGAUUUAUUGGGUUUAAGGGGUGCGUAGGCGGCCUUUAAGUCAGCGGUGAAAGUCCGGGGCUCAAACCUCGAAUGGCCGUUGAAACUGGCGGACUGGAGACGGCGAGAAGUACGCGGAAUGCGCGGUGUAGCGGUGAAAUGCAUAGAUAUCGCGCAGAACUCCGAUUGCGAAGGCAGCGUACCGGCGCCGGACUGACGCUGAGGCACGAAAGCGUGGGUAUCGAACAGGAUUAGAUACCCUGGUAGUC